CAGUCGCCACGGUAAUACGGAGGAUCCAAGCGUUAUCCGGAAUCAUUGGGUUUAAAGGGUCCGUAGGCGGUCUUGUAAGUCAGUGGUGAAAGCCCAUCGCUCAACGGUGGAACGGCCAUUGAUACUGCAGGACUUGAAUUAUUGGGAAGUAACUAGAAUAUGUAGUGUAGCGGUGAAAUGCUUAGAGAUUACAUGGAAUACCAAUUGCGAAGGCAGGUUACUACCAAUUGAUUGACGCUGAUGGACGAAAGCGUGGGUAGCGAACAGGAUUAGAUACCCCCGUAGUCCCUGUCUCUUAUAC
rnacentral:rRNA from 1 species